rnacentral:hammerhead_ribozyme from 1 species
AUCCAUCAGACGAGUCCCAAAUAGGACGAAACGCGCAUCCUGGAU